rnacentral:lncRNA from 1 species
GUAGGGACUGGUCCGCACUACUUGAUGGAGUCAGGGCUGGGACACGGGUUUCUCGCGUCUAUUUCGUAACGGGAAACUGAAGCCCCGGGAGCUUGUAUUUGGACUCCAGAUUCUGCCACAAAAAACUAGAAUUAUCUUCCAAAGUGUCACAUCUCAGGUUGGGGAUGUGCCACGUUAGGACUCGAGACAUCCUUUCUGUUCAGGACACGUUUCGCAGGCUAACUCGCUUAGGGAUCUCGGGGGUCCCCUCUAGGCUCCAUCCCAGCUCCGGUGCCUGAGAUGUUUCUGCACGCUGAAGCGACAAGCCACCCGAGCCCAGCUAGGGGAUUCUACUACCUGGGAGUCAGUGUUAGUGGGACAAAUGGUAUCCAGCAGAAAGUGUGGCCCAGAUUAAAGGUGUGUACCACCAUGCCUGGACCUAGGACUUGCUUUCUCCAGAUGACCUUGAACUCAGAGAUCUCCUUGCCUUAGUCUCCUGGGAUUCAUAGCUACUAUGCCUCAAGAUCUCCAUGCCAAGAUCCAGGUCAAAAACUUGUGUCUUCCAGCCUCAAGAUCUGGAUCACAGGAAUGUGGACCUCGUGAAACAGAACUAUGCAUAGUGAAUAUGUGCCAAUUACAAUGUUCUUUAAAAUGGGAAAACAUGGGAGAAACAUAAUUUUAUUCCCAAGAAGCACGUAAGCUAAUAAUGAUGCCCAGUAAAUGUAUAAAAGAGUCUCACUAUGUAACUCUGGCUGUCCUGAAACUCCCUCUGAAGACCAGGCUGACCUUGAACUCACAGAAAUCAGCCUGCCUCAGCCACUGGAAUGCUGGGAUUAAAGGUGUGUGCCACCACACCAACCCUGAUAAGUGUUCUU